AUUGCCCUAGUAACGGCGAGUGAAGCGGCAACAGCUCAAAUUUGAAAUCUGGCGUCUUUGGCGUCCGAGUUGUAAUUUGCAGAGGGCGCUUUGGCAUUGGCAGCGGUCCAAGUUCCUUGGAACAGGACGUCACAGAGGGUGAGAAUCCCGUACGUGGUCGCUAGCCUUUACCGUGUAAAGCCCCUUCGACGAGUCGAGUUGUUUGGGAAUGCAGCUCUAAAUGGGAGGUAAAUUUCUUCUAAAGCUAAAUACUGGCCAGAGACCGAUAGCGCACAAGUAGAGUGAUCGAAAGAUGAAAAGCACUUUGGAAAGAGAGUUAAAAAGCACGUGAAAUUGUUGAAAGGGAAGCGCUUGCAGCCAGACUUGCCUGUAGUUGCUCAUCCGGGUUUUUACCCGGUGCACUCUUCUAUAGGCAGGCCAGCAUCAGUUUGGGCGGUUGGAUAAAGGUCUCUGUCAUGUACCUCUCUUCGGGGAGAACUUAUAGGGGAGACGACAUGCAACCAGCCUGGACUGAGGUCCGCGCAUCUGCUAGGAUGCUGGCGUAAUGGCUGUAAGCGGCCCGUCUUGAAACACGGACCAAGGAGUCUAACAUCUAUGCGAGUGUUUGGGUGUCAAGCCCGAACGCGUAAUGAAAGUGAACGGAGGUGGGAACCUUUCGGGGUGCACCAUCGACCGAUCCUGAUGUCUUCGGAUGGAUUUGAGUAAGAGCAUAGCUGUUGGGACCCGAAAGAUGGUGAACUAUGCUUGAAUAGGGUGAAGCCAGAGGAAACUCUGGUGGAGGCUCGCAGCGGUUCUGACGUGCAAAUCGAUCGUCAAAUUUGGGCAUAGGGGCGAAAGACUAAUCGA
rnacentral:rRNA from 1 species